rnacentral:rRNA from 1 species
UACAGUGGGUGCGAGCGUUAUUCGGAAUUACUGGGCGUAAAGCGCGUGUAGGUGGUUUUGUAAGUCUGGCGUGAAAGCCCACGACUCAAUCGUGGAAGUGCGCUCGAUACUGCAAGACUAGAGUACAGGAGAGGUGAACGCAAUUCCUGGUGUAGAGGUGAAAUUCGUAGAUAUCAGGAGGAACAACGGAGGCGAAAGCGGUUCACUGGACUGUCACUGACACUGAGUCGCGACAGCGUUGGUAGCGAACGGG